rnacentral:rRNA from 1 species
CCUACGGGAGGCAGCAGUGGGGAAUCUUCCGCAAUGGGCGCAAGCCUGACGGAGCAAUGCCGCGUGAACGAAGAAGGUCUUCGGAUUGUAAAGUUCUGUCCUUAUCGAAGAGAGGGUAUAGAGUGAAAAAUGAUAUACUAGGACGGUAGAUGAGGAGGAAGCCCCGGCUAACUACGUGCCAGCAGCCGCGGUAAUACGUAGGGGGCGAGCGUUGUCCGGAUUUAUUGGGUUUAAAGGGUGCGUAGGUGGGCUUUUAAGUCAGCGGUAAAAAUUCGGGGCUCAACCCCGUCCGGCCGUUGAAACUG